ensembl:lncRNA
AAGUGGUAUUUCUCGAGAGAAAAUGCGUGAUUUUGGGGUGAAAGGUGGUAUAUUUGGGGGAGAAAUGUGUUAUUUCCCAGCGAAAAGUGGUAUUUUCAAGAAGGAAGUGCAGAAUUUUUGGGAGACAGGUGGUAUUUUCGGGGUGAAAAUGCAUGAUUUUCGAGAGAAAAGUGGUAUUUCUCGAGAGAAAAUGCGUGAUUUUGGGGUGAAAGGUGGUAUAUUUGGGGUAGAAAUGUGUUAUUUCCCAGCGAAAAGUGGUAUUUUCAGGAAGGAAGUGCAGAAUUUUUGGGAGACAGGUGGUAUUUUCGGGGUGAAAAUGCAUGAUUUUCGAGAGAAAAGUGGUAUUUCUCGAGAGAAAAUGCGUGAUUUUGGGGUGAAAGGUGGUAUAUUUGGGGUAGAUGUGUUUUUCUCCAGCAAAAAGUGGUAUUUUCGGGUAGAAAAUGUGUGAUGUUUGGACAGAGGUGCUAUUUUUCGAGGGGGAAAGGCGUGAUUUUCAAACAAAAACUUGUAGUUUCGGAGUGACAAUGCAUGGUUUUCGUUAGCAAAGUCGUAUUUUCCUAAAGAAAAUGCGUGAUUUUCUUGUGAAAGGUGGUAUUUUCGGGAAGAAACUGCAUGAUUUUCGGGGGAAAAGUGGUAUAUUUGGGGUAGAAAUGCGUUAUUACCCAGCGACAAGUGGUGUUUUAGCGCAGAAAAUGCGUGAUUUUCGUGAGAAAAGUGGUAUUUCUUGAGAGAAAAUGCGUGAUUUUGAGGUGAAGGUGGUAUAUUUG